AAGCCUUAAUCCCAACCUAGUUGGGGAUGGCUAUAUGAAUCAUUUUUCGUCAUUGAGCUUGUUAGAUACCAAGUCCGCAUCAAUAUCCAACAAUUGUACCUUUGAUAUUACUUCCCUCUAUGUCAUCUUUGGUUUCCCCCUCCCCUUGUUCACUCUGUUAGAUACCAAGUGCAUCAAUAUUCAAACUUGUAAAUCCUUUGAUAUUUACUUCCAUCCACAUCAUCUUUGGUUUCCCCCUCCCCUUGUUCACUCUGUUAGAUACCAAGUGCAUCAAUAUUCAAACUUGUAAAUCCUUUGAUAUUUACUUCCAUCCACA
rnacentral:misc_RNA from 1 species